GACGAACGCUGGCGGCGUGCUUAACACAUGCAAGUCGAACGGAAAGGCCCUGCUUUUGUGGGGUGCUCGAGUGGCGAACGGGUGAGUAACACGUGAGUAACCUGCCCUUGACUUUGGGAUAACUUCAGGAAACUGGGGCUAAUACCGGAUAGGAGCUCCUGCUGCAUGGUGGGGGUUGGAAAGUUUCGGCGGUUGGGGAUGGACUCGCGGCUUAUCAGCUUGUUGGUGGGGUAGUGGCUUACCAAGGCUUUGACGGGUAGCCGGCCUGAGAGGGUGACCGGCCACAUUGGGACUGAGAGACGGACCAGACUCGUACGGGAGGCAGCAGUGGGGAAUAUUGCACAAUGGGCGGAAGCCUGAUGCAGCAACGCCGCGUGCGGGAUGACGGCCUUCGGGUUGUAAACCGCUUUCGCCUGUGACGAAGAGGGAGUGACGGUAAUGGGUAAAGAAGCACCGGCUAACUACGUG
rnacentral:rRNA from 1 species